AAAAAUAAAGCCAGUUUAGUGUUCAUAUUGUUCUUGCCGAAUACAAACGAAAAGAAAAAGAAAAUAAACGGGUUUUAGGGUUCGGCUAUUCUCCAACUUGAUUCAAGAUCAAGAAAAGAGAAAAUUAGAUUUGGAUCGGGGAAAACUAAAGUUGUCGACUAGUCAUCCCGUUCCGUUUUUCAUCGUCCGAGAUUUUGGAUCAAGUUACAAGCUCGGGGAUCGUCAGCAAAGUCUAUCAGACUAUCGACUGUCUUCAGUAUCUUUAUAUGUGAACUUUCAGAUCUUUGGCAUGUAUAGGAAGGAUUAUGUUUUGAAAUGUCGGAUUUUGGUUAUGUACAAUCUAAGCCAUGCGAAAAUGGCUUAACCUUUAAUGUUUGAAUUCGGUUAUGUUGAGUAUGGUUUAUGUUCAUAUUGGUUAUGUAGUUACAUGCCAUGAAUGUUUAGUA